rnacentral:rRNA from 1 species
AUACGUAGGCGGCAAGCGUUGUCCGGAAUUAUUGGGCGUAAAGCGCGCGCAGGUGGUUCCUUAAGUCUGAUGUGAAAGCCCCCGGCUCAACCGGGGAGGGUCAUUGGCAACUGGGGAACUUGAGUGCAGAAGAGGAUAGUGGAAUUCCAAGUGUAGCGGUGAAAUGCGUAGAGAUUUGGAGGAACACCAGUGGCGAAGGCGACUGUCUGGUCUGUAACUGACACUGAGGCGCGAAAGCGUGGGGAGCAAACAGGAUUAGAUACCCUGGUAGUCCACGCCGUAAACGAUGAGUGCUAAGUGUUGGGGGGUUUCCGCCCCUCAGUGCUGCAGCUAACGCAUUAAGCACUCCGCCUGGGGAGUACGGUCGCAAGACUGAAACUCAAAUGAAUUGACGGGG